rnacentral:tRNA from 1 species
GUGGCUCAGUGAGUAGGGCGCUGGUCCUAUAUACCAGAGGUGGCAAGUUCAAACCUGCCC